rnacentral:rRNA from 1 species
UCGUGGAUUGAUUUGUCUGGUUAAUUCCGAUAACGAACGAGACCUUUACCUACUAAUUACUUUGGCUUGGAAUUUUUUCAGGUUUUUCAAAGUUCUUAGCGGGACAGCUGGCGUUUAGCCAGAGGAAGUUGAAGGCAAUAACA